rnacentral:rRNA from 1 species
GGGCCCGCACAAGCGGUGGAGCAUGUGGUUUAAUUCGAUGCAACGCGAAGAACCUUACCAGGGGCUUGACAUACUACGAAUCUUUUUGAGAAAAAAGAGUGCCUUCGGGAAUGUAGAUACAGGUGGUGCAUGGCUGUCGUCAGCUCGUGUCGUGAGAUGUUGGGUUAAGUCCCGCAACGAGCGCAACCCCCUUUCCUAGUUUGCCAGCACAUAAUGGUGGGGGACUCUAAGGAUACUGCCCUGGAUAACCAGGAGGAAGGUGGGGAUGAUGUCAAGUCAGUAUGUCCCUUAUGCCCAGGGCUACACACGUGUUACAAUGGUCGGUACAAUGGGUUGCUACCCUGCAAAGGCAAGC